UGAAUCUGACAAUGUGACAAUGCCCGUGCGGCGCAGGGAUGCAGAUGGCAGAUUGCAGAUGUCAGUUGGUUUUUGCCGCUAGAGAAGUGUAGUGGGUACCCAUGUAAAAGUGGUGAAAGUGAUUUUUGCAUUUACUUUUGAACUUUAUCUUUGAAAAUUGUGUUAAACCAAUGCCUAGUAAUCGUUUAUAAUUAAUUUUUAUACGAUAUCACGAUAUCAGUAGGUAUAGUUUUGAGAUUCACUGGUCCCUUGCAACGACACCAGGUAAUAGAAAAGCGAAAAAAGGAUUGAAGAAGUCACAGAAGAUAUUCUCCUGACUUAUCUUGAUAUGCGAAGCAUAUGAAGAACAAACACCCCACAGUUAUCGUACCAAAAAGUUUUAGACUGAAAACGAUCGUAGAAUUUACUUAGCGCGGGACUCGAGGAGGAAUAGCUUGGACGAGGCCCCCGCCGUCCCAGACGAACCUGCAGCACCCGGAACCGGGCACACGGCCAUGAUGAGAAUGGACGCAUCCGGCGGGGGAGCUGGGCCUGAACGGGGCCCUCGUCCUGCGGCUCCCGAACGGGGGCCGCGUAGCUUUCUCGCACGCCAGGGACCACAUUAAAGUGGUCCUCCACUUUUAAAACCCCGAGUUCCCUUCGAUUUAUUCUGUAUCUUUUUUUUUGUCUUGGAUUUUGUUAAUAAAUGAAAAUAAGUAGA